UGCUCUCUUGGCGGCGAGUGGCGGACGGGUGAGUAAUAUAUCGGAACGUGCCCAGUAGCGGGGGAUAACUACUCGAAAGAGUGGCUAAUACCGCAUACGCCCUACGGGGGAAAGGGGGGGAUCGCAAGACCUCUCACUAUUGGAGCGGCCGAUAUCGGAUUAGCUAGUUGGUGGGGUAAAGGCUCACCAAGGCAACGAUCCGUAGCUGGUUUGAGAGGACGACCAGCCACACUGGGACUGAGACACGGCCCAGACUCCUACGGGAGGCAGCAGUGGGGAAUUUUGGACAAUGGGGGAAACCCUGAUCCAGCCAUCCCGCGUGUAUGAUGAAGGCCUUCGGGUUGUAAAGUACUUUUGGCAGAGAAGAAAAG
rnacentral:rRNA from 1 species